rnacentral:lncRNA from 1 species
UUGCUUAACAAAUUUAUCAUAUCAUGCAUACACACACACCUUUUCCCGGGUGUGAACAAAGCCAAAACACAAUGGCAUUAUCGAUAAUAAUAUACAUGCACUAUACCAGUCAUGUAUUUAGCAAUUUACAUUGCAUACACAUAUUCACAUUGUUAGAUUGUAUUCACAAUACAAAAGGACCCAUGACUUCUAGCGGAGACAUUUACAAUAAAAGGGAUUACUAUCGAAUGCCAGACACAUACCCAGGAGAUGCACUACGGGGACUCCUCGAUCUAGGGUCCAACAGUCAC